rnacentral:rRNA from 1 species
CACUAUCGUUAACUGAAUACAUAGGUUAACGAGGCGAACCGGGGGAACUGAAACAUCUAAGUACCCCGAGGAAAAGAAAUCAACCGAGAUUCCCCCAGUAGCGGCGAGCGAACGGGGAGCAGCCCAGAGUCUGAAUCAGCUUGUGUGUUAGUGGAACGGUCUGGAAAGUCCGACGGUACAGGGUGAUAGUCCCGUACACCAAAAUGCACAGGUUGUGAACUCGAAGAGUAGGGCGGGACACGUGGUAUCCUGUCUGAAUAUGGGGGGACCAUCCUCCAAGGCUAAAUACUCCUGACUGACCGAUAGUGAACCAGUACCGUGAGGGAAAGGCGAAAAGAACCCCGGCGAGGGGAGUGAAAAAGAACCUGAAACCGUGUACGUACAAGCAGUGGGAGCACCUUCGGGUGUGACUGCGUACCUUUUGUAUAAUGGGUCAGCGACUUAUAUUCUGUAGCAAGGUUAACCGUAUAGGGGAGCCGCAGGGAAACCGAGUCUUAACUGGGCGUUAAGUUGCAGGGUAUAGACCCGAAACCCGGUGAUCUAGCCAUGGGCAGGUUGAAGGUUGGGUAACACUAACUGGAGGACCGAACCGACUAAUGUUGAAAAAUUAGCGGAUGACUUGUGGCUGGGGGUGAAAGGCCAAUCAAACCGGGAGAUAGCUGGUUCUCCCCGAAAGCUAUUUAGGUAGCGCCUCGUGAAUUCAUCUUCGGGGGUAGAGCACUGUUUCGGCUAGGGGGUCAUCCCGACUUACCAACCCGAUGCAAACUACGAAUACCGAAGAAUGUUAUCACGGGAGACACACGGCGGGUGCUAACGUCCGUCGUGAAGAGGGAAACAACCCAGACCGCCAGCUAAGGUCCCAAAGUCACAGUUAAGUGGGAAACGAUGUGGGAAGGCACAGACAGCCAGGAUGUUGGCUUAGAAGCAGCCAUCAUUUAAAGAAAGCGUAAUAGCUCACUGGUCGAGUCGGCCUGCGCGGAAGAUGUAACGGGGCUAAACUGUGCACCGAAGCUGCGGCAGCGACACUAUGUGUUGUUGGGUAGGGGAGCGUUCUGUAAGCCUGCGAAGGUGGCCUGUGAGGGUUGCUGGAGGUAUCAGAAGUGCGAAUGCUGACAUAAGUAACGAUAAUGCGGGUGAAAAGCCCGCACGCCGGAAGACCAAGGGUUCCUGUCCAACGUUAAUCGGGGCAGGGUGAGUCGACCCCUAAGGCGAGGCCGAAAGGCGUAGUCGAUGGGAAACAGGUUAAUAUUCCUGUACUUGGUGUUACUGCGAAGGGGGGACGGAGAAGGCUAUGUUAGCCGGGCGACGGUUGUCCCGGUUUAAGCAUGUAGGCGGAGGUUCCAGGUAAAUCCGGUACCUUUUUAACGCUGAGGUGUGAUGACGAGGCACUACGGUGCUGAAGUAACAAAUGCCCUGCUUCCAGGAAAAGCCUCUAAGCAUCAGGUAACAUUAAAUCGUACCCCAAACCGACACAGGUGGUCAGGUAGAGAAUACCAAGGCGCUUGAGAGAACUCGGGUGAAGGAACUAGGCAAAAUGGUGCCGUAACUUCGGGAGAAGGCACGCUGAUAUGUAGGUGAAGCCCCUGCGGGUGGAGCUGAAAUCAGUCGAAGAUACCAGCUGGCUGCAACUGUUUAUUAAAAACACAGCACUGUGCAAACACGAAAGUGGACGUAUACGGUGUGACGCCUGCCCGGUGCCGGAAGGUUAAUUGAUGGGGUUAUCCGUAAGGAGAAGCUCUUGAUCGAAGCCCCGGUAAACGGCGGCCGUAACUAUAACGGUCCUAAGGUAGCGAAAUUCCUUGUCGGGUAAGUUCCGACCUGCACGAAUGGCGUAAUGAUGGCCAGGCUGUCUCCACCCGAGACUCAGUGAAAUUGAACUCGCUGUGAAGAUGCAGUGUACCCGCGGCAAGACGGAAAGACCCCGUGAACCUUUACUAUAGCUUGACACUGAACAUUGAGCCUUGAUGUGUAGGAUAGGUGGGAGGCUUUGAAGCGUGGACGCCAGUCUGCGUGGAGCCAACCUUGAAAUACCACCCUUUAAUGUUUGAUGUUCUAACGUUGGCCCCU